AGUCCAUGAUGUGGACAUUUUCGAACAAAUCUCUAAAUCUUUUCCAUGCCUCGUAUAGUGAUUCUCUUUCUAAUUGGCUAAAACUAGUGAUAUCUAUUCUUAACUU